AGUGAACGCUGGCGGUAGGCCUAACACAUGCAAGUCGAACGGCAGCACAGAGGAGCUUGCUCCUUGGGUGGCGAGUGGCGGACGGGUGAGGAAUACAUCGGAAUCUACUUUUUCGUGGGGGAUAACGUAGGGAGACUUACGCUAAUACCGCAUACGACCUACGGGUGAAAGUAGGGGAUCUUCGGACCUUGCGCGAUUGAAUGAGCCGAUGUCGGAUUAGCUAGUUGGCGGGGUAAAGGCCCACAAAGGCGACGAUCCGUAGCGGGUCUGAGAGGAUGAUCAGCCACACUGGAACUGAGACACGGUCCAGACUCCUACGGGAGGCAGCAGUGGGGAAUAUUGGACAAUGGGCGCAAGCCUGAUCCAGCCAUACCGCGUGUGUGAAGAAGGCCUUCGGGUUGUAAAGCCCUUUUGUUGGGAAAGAAAUCCAGCCGGCUAAUACCUGGUUGGGAUGACGGUACCCAAAGAAUAAGCACCGGCUAACUUCGUGCCAGCCGCCGCGGUAA
rnacentral:rRNA from 1 species